CGAAUGGGGAAACCCACCACUUUAUGUGGUACUUUAAACUGAAUACAUAGGUUUAAAGAGACAACCUGGAGAACUGAAACAUCUAAGUAACCAGAGGAAAAGAAAUCAAUUGAGAUUCCGUUAGUAGUGGCGAGCGAACGCGGAGUAGGCCAGUAGUUUUGUUAGAAAAAUUUGAAUAGUUUGGAAAUGCUAACCAUAGAGGGUGAUAGUCCCGUAUGAGUAAUGUUUAACAAAAUUCUUGAGUAAAGCGGGACGGGGAGAAAUCCUGCUCGAAUAUAGGGGG
rnacentral:rRNA from 1 species